rnacentral:rRNA from 1 species
UGGGGAAUUUUGGACAAUGGGGGAAACCCUGAUCCAGCCAUCCCGCGUGUGCGAUGAAGGCCUUCGGGUUGUAAAGCACUUUUGGCAGGAAAGAAACGUCAUGGGUUAAUACCCCGUGAAACUGACGGUACCUGCAGAAUAAGCACCGGCUAACUACGUGCCAGCAGCCGCGGUAAUACGUAGGGUGCAAGCGUUAAUCGGAAUUACUGGGCGUAAAGCGUGCGCAGGCGGUUCGGAAAGAAAGAUGUGAAAUCCCAGAGCUCAAAUUUGGAACUGCAUUUUUAACUACCGGGCUAGAGUGUGUCCGAGGGAGGUGGAAUUCCGCGUGUAGGAGUGAAAAGCGUAGAUAUGCGGAGGAACAACGAUGGCGAAAGCAGCCCCCUGGGAUAACACCGACGCUCAUGCAAGAAAGCGUGGGGAGCAAACAGG